AGCUCCAAUAGCGUAUAUUAAAGUUGUUGCAGUUAAAAAGCUCGUAGUUGGAUUUCUGGUUUGAACGUCCGGUCCAUCUCUUACGAGAUGCGUACUAUGGAUGUUUGGGCCAUUUUUUGUGAGGAUGCCUUUCUGCCAUUAAGUUGGUGGUUUGGUGGACUUGCAUCGUUUACUGUGAAAAAAUUAGAGUGUUUAAAGCAGGCGUUUGCUCAUUUGAAUACAUUAGCAUGGAAUAAUAAGAUACGACCUUGGUGGUCUAUUUUGUUGGUUUGCACGCCAGGGUAAUGAUUAAUAGGGACAGUUGGGGGUAUUCAUAUUUCAGCGUCAGAGGUGAAAUUCUUGGAUCGCUGAAAGAUGAGCUUAGGCGAAAGCAUUUACCAAGGAUGUUUUCA
rnacentral:rRNA from 1 species